UACGUAGGGUGCAAGCGUUAAUCGGAAUUACUGGGCGUAAAGCGUGCGCAGGCGGUUUUGUAAGUCUGUCGUGAAAUCCCCCGGGCUCAACCUGGGAAUUGCGAUGGAGACUGCAAGGCUAGAAUCUGGCAGAGGGGGGGUAGAAUUCCGACGUGUAGCAGUGAAAUGCGUAGAGAUGUGGAGGAACACCGAUGGCGAAGGCAGCCCCCUGGGUCAAGAUUGACGCUCAUGCACGAAAGGCGUGGGGAGCAAACGAGGAUACGAA
rnacentral:rRNA from 1 species